rnacentral:rRNA from 1 species
AUUGAACGCUGGCGGCAGGCUUAACACAUGCAAGUCGAACGAGUGGCGGACGGGUGAGUAAUGCUUGGGAAUCUAGCUUAUGGAGGGGGAUAACUACGGGAAACUGUAGCUAAUACCGCGUACCAUAGGAUGAGCCCAAGUGGGAUUAGGUAGUUGGUGAGGUAAAGGCUCACCAAGCCGACGAUCCCUAGCUGGUCUGAGAGGAUGAUCAGCCACACGGGGACUGAGACACGGCCCAGACUCCUAGGGGGGGCAGCGGGGGAGAAUAUUGCAAAAGGGGCGAAAGUCUGAUGCAGCCAUGCCGCGUGUAUGAAGAAGGCCCUGGGGUUGUAAAGUACUUUCAGUCGGGAGGCGUUACCGACAGAAGAAGCACCGGCUAACUCCGUGCCAGCGGCCGCGUAAUAC